rnacentral:rRNA from 1 species
GGGUUUACUUAUUGGUCAGGCUUAAUUGUCUGUACUGGUGAGAUGGAUCUCUACCUUCUGACGAACCAUGAUGUCAUUAAUUUGGUGUCUUGGGGAAUCAGGACUUUUACUUUGAAAAAAUUAGAGUGUUUAAAGCAGGCUCACGCUUGAAUACAUUAGCAUGGAAUAACGAAAUAGGACGUUUGAUUUUAUUUUGUUGGUUUCUAGGAUCGACGUA